UUACGACCACAUUACGUUGAAACAGCGGUUCCCGUACAAUCAACGAAGUUAAGCAACGUCGAGCCGGGUCAGUACUUAGAUGGCUGACUGAUUGGGAAAACCAGUUACUGUAA